rnacentral:rRNA from 1 species
AGAUCUUGACAUCCUCAGAAGAAACAGGAAGCUGUUUUGUGCCUUAGGGAACUGAGAGACAGGUGGUGCAUGGCUGUCGACAGCUCGUGUCGUGAGAUGUUGGGUUAAGUCCCGCAACGAGCGCAACCCUUAUCGUUAGUUACCAUCAUUAAGUUGGGGACUCUAGCGAGACUGCCUGCGAAGAGCAGGAGGAAGGUGGGGAUGACGUCAAGUCAUCAUGCCCCUUAUGAUCUGGGCUACACACGUGCUACAAUGGUUGGUACAGAGAGGUGCGAGGCAGUGAUGCGGAGCGAAUCUUGAAAGCCGAUCUAAGUUCGGAUUGAAGUCUGCAACUCGACUUCAUGAAGUUGGAAUCGCUAGUAAUCGCAAAUCAGCAAUGUUGCGGUGAAUACGUUCUCGGGUC